GAUGAACGCUGGCGGCGUGCCUAAUACAUGCAAGUCGAGCGAACAGACGAGGAGCUUGCUCCUCUGACGUUAGCGGCGGACGGGUGAGUAACACGUGGAUAACCUACCUAUAAGACUGGGAUAACUUCGGGAAACCGGAGCUAAUACCGGAUAAUAUAUUGAACCGCAUGGUUCAAUAGUGAAAGACGGUUUUGCUGUCACUUAUAGAUGGAUCCGCGCCGCAUUAGCUAGUUGGUAAGGUAACGGCUUACCAAGGCAACGAUGCGUAGCCGACCUGAGAGGGGGAUGGCACACACGGGAACGGAGACACGGUCCAGACUCCGGCGGGAGGAAGAAGGAGGAAUUCUCCCGGAUGGGGGAAAGGUUGGAGGGAGAAACCCCGGGGGGGGGAGAAGGGUGUGGGGAUCGAAAACCUGUGUUAUGAGGGAAAAAAAAAUGUGAAAGAAACUAUGCGCGUCUUGAGGGAACAUAACAAAAAGCCCACGGCAAACAACGUG
rnacentral:rRNA from 1 species